GUCGCUACUACCGAUUGAAUGGCUUAGUGAGAUUUUCGGAUUUUUGGGUGAAUAUCGGCAACGAUAUCAAUUUGAAGAAAAGUUAAUCAAACUUGGUCAUUUAGAGGAAGUAA
rnacentral:rRNA from 1 species